rnacentral:ncRNA from 1 species
GACAACUGGCUUGUGGUAGCCAAGCAUCCAUAGCGACGUUGCUCUUGAUCCUUCGAUUUCGGCUCUUCCUAUCAUUGCGAAGCAGAAUUCGCCAAGCGUUGGAUUGCUCACCCACUAAUAGGGAACGUGAAUUGGGUUUAGACCGUCGUGAGACAGGUU